rnacentral:lncRNA from 1 species
UUUUAGAAGAAAAUCCACUGGAUACAAUAUAAGCCUGGCCACGACAAUACUCCAUAUUUAGUCCCCACUUCUCAGUUAUUGUAGUGUGAAAUUUCACAGCCAAAAUUUCCGCAUCAGCUUCAUAAGGCAGGAAGCCCACAACUCCUCUCUCAGGUUAUGGGCUUCAUCAACAAACCUCACCAGGACAGGUAAGUGCUCUUCCCCCGCUAUGUCCACCGCAUCAUCAGUGACGAUGGAAAAGAAGUGUGAGUCUCUCACUUCCCUGAGGGUUUCUUCCCUAACACAGCUCUCACAGAUCUCUAGCAUCUGUUUCUGCUGUGUUUUUGAACAGAACAAUGUGUUAACGGCUGUGGUCUCAAAGUGCUUUCUCAGAACCUCUUCACCAGAAUUUAUCCGGCACUCCAACAAAGCUUGGAAGUUAUCAGGUGUAAAGAGACCUUCCGGGAUUUUGUCGGUCUCAUGCCCAUCCAGAGUGUCUUGA